rnacentral:ncRNA from 2 species
AUGCCCUCCUUGCUUUCAGGUGCCCCGCCCUAGAAUCGACCUGUCGAUUCUAGGGCGGGGUUAAACGGGAAGCCGGUCAGGUCAUCAAGCCAAAGCCGGCGCUGCCCCCGCAACGGUAGAUAAGUAAAGAAUCAUCAAUUUGCCACUGUGUGCAAUGACAUGGGAAGGCGAUGAUUCAGGCCUAUGGCCACUUAUAAGCCCGGAGACCGGCCCGAUAGCGAUUCGACAC